rnacentral:rRNA from 1 species
AAUAGAUACCCUGGUAGUCCACGCCCUAAACGAUGUCAACUAGUUGUUGGGGAUUCAUUUCCUUAGUAACGUAGCUAACGCGUGAAGUUGACCGCCUGGGGAGUACGGUCGCAAGAUUAAAACUCAAAGGAAUUGACGGGGACCCGCACAAGCGGUGGAUGAUGUGGAUUAAUUCGAUGCAACGCGAAAAACCUUACCUACCCUUGACAUGGUCGGAACCCUGCUGAAAGGUGGGGUGCUCGAAAGAGAACCGGCGCACAGGUGCUGCAUGGCUGUCGUCAGCUCGUGUCGUGAGAUGUUGGGUUAAGUCCCGCAACGAGCGCAACCCUUGUCCUUAGUUGCUACGCAAGAGCACUCUAAGGAGACUGCCGGUGACAAACCGGAGGAAGGUGGGGAUGACGUCAAGUCCUCAUGGCCCUUAUGGGUAGGGCUUCACACGUCAUACAAUGGUCGGAACAGAGGGUUGCCAAGCCGCGAGGUGGAGCCAAUCCCAGAAAACCGAUCGUAGUCCGGAUCGCAGUCUGCAACUCGACUG